GUGCCCGAGUCGGCAGCACAUAUACUGAAGUCAGAACACUGUAGAGAAGAUUAGCAGGGCCCCUGGGCAAGGAUGAAGUGCAAAUCUGUGAAGGGUUUCUGUAUUAA